UACGUAGGGUGCAAGCGUUGUCCGGAAUUAUUGGGCGUAAAGAGCUCGUAGGCGGUCUGUCGCGUCGGCUGUGAAAACCCGGAGCUCAACUCCGGGCCUGCAGUCGAUACGGGCAGACUGGAGUUCGGCAGGGGAGACUGGAAUUCCUGGUGUAGCGGUGAAAUGCGCAGAUAUCAGGAGGAACACCCGGUGGCGAAGGCGGGUCUCUGGAACGCAACUGACGCUGAGACGCGAAAGCGUGGGGAGCAAACAGG
rnacentral:rRNA from 1 species